AUGAACGCUGGCGGCGUGCCUCAUCCAUGCAAGUCGCGCGAACAGACGAGGAGCUUGCUCCUCUGACGUUAGCGGCGGACGGGUGAGUAACACGUGGAUAACCUACCUAUAAGACUGGGAUACUUCGGGAAACCGGAGCUAAUACCGGAUAAUAUAUUGAACCGCAUGGUUCAAUAGUGAAAGACGGUUUUGCUGUCACUUAUAGAUGGAUCCGCGCCGCAUUAGCUAGUUGGUAAGGUAACGGCUUACCAAGGCGACGAUGCGUAGCCGACCUGAGAGGGUGAUCGGCCACACUGGAACUGAGACACGGUCCAGACUCCUACGGGAGGCAGCAGUAGGGAAUCUUCCGCAAUGGGCGAAAGCCUGACGGAGCAACGCCGCGUGAGUGAUGAAGGUCUUCGGAUCGUAAAACUCUGUUAUUAGGGAAGAACAAAUGUGUAAGUAACUAUGCACGUCUUGACGGUACCUAAUCAGAAAGCCACGGCUAACUACGUG
rnacentral:rRNA from 1 species